rnacentral:pre_miRNA from 1 species
UGGACAAAUUAUUGUAUUCGACUGUAUUCACGGCGUGAAACAGGGAUUACACUAUUUUUAAAUGAAAAGUUAAUCAAUUAACAUAAAUAGACUCCU